rnacentral:rRNA from 1 species
AAGUGGAUUAGUGGCGAACGGGUGAGUAACACGUGAGUAACCUGCCUUACACAAGGGGAUAGCCUUUGGAAACGAAGAAUAAUACCCUAUGACGUCAAUUUAUCGCAUGAUAGAAUGACCAAAGAUUUAUCGGUGUAAGAUGGACUUGCGUCUGAUUAGCUAGUUGGUGAGAUAAAAGCCCACCAAGGCGACGAUCAGUAGCCGGCUUGAGAGAGUGUACGGCCACAUUGGGACUGAGACACGGCCCAAACUCCUACGGGAGGCAGCAGUGGGGAAUUUUGCACAAUGGGGGAAACCCUGAUGCAGCGACGCCGCGUGAUUUAGAAGGCCUUCGGGUUGUAAAAAUCUUUUUUAUGGGAUGAAAAUGACAGUACCAUAAGAAUAAGGUCCGGCUAAAUACGUGCCAGCAGCCGCGGUAAUACGUAUGGACCGAGCGUUGUCCGGAAUCAUUGGGCGUAAAGGGUACGUAGGCGGCCUAGUAAGUUAGAAGUGAAAUAAUAUAGCUCAACUAUAUAAAGCUUUUAAAACUGUUAGGCUUGAGAGAUGAAAGGGAAAGUGGAAUUCCUAGUGUAGCGGUGAAAUGCGCAGAUAUUAGGAAGAAUACCGG